rnacentral:misc_RNA from 1 species
GCAGGAGAGAGGUGCUGACAGGAGUUUUGACAGGCCCGCUGACAAAGCCAAAGAUGAACGAAACAAGGAUGAUCGUGGCAAGCUGCGGUACAGUGAUACAUCUAUGGAAAAAUCUCAUGGCGAUGAUCGAUUUUAUGGGCAAAACUUGCCACCUCCACCACCCUUGCCUCCUCAUGUGGUUCCCCAAUCAGUUAAUUCCAGUAGAAGAGAUGAAGAUGCUGACAGAAGGUUUGGAACUACCAGGCAUACUCAGAGGCUUUCUCCAAGGCAUGAGGAGAAAGAAAGACGACGCUCAGAAGAAAAUUCUUUGGUUUCACAAGAUGAUGCAAAACGUAGGAGAGAAGAUGAUUUUCGAGAUAGAAAAAGAGAAGAGCGAGAGGGGCA